UACGUAGGGGGCAAGCGUUGUCCGGAUUUAUUGGGCGUAAAGAGCGUGUAGGCGGCCAUACAGGUCAGCUGUGAAAACUCGAGGCUCAACCUCGAGACGUCGGUUGAAACCGUAUGGCUAGAGUCCGGAAGAGGAGAGUGGAAUUCCCGGUGUAGCGGUGAAAUGCGCAGAUAUCGGGAAAAACACCCGUGGCGAAGGCGGCUCUCUGGGACGGUACUGACGCUGAGACGCGAAAGCGUGGGGAGCGAACAGG
rnacentral:rRNA from 1 species